GAUAAACGCUAGCGGCAGGCUUAACACAUGCAAGUCGAGGGGCAGCAUAAGGAGUAGUAAUACGAAUUGAUGGCGACCGGCAGACGGGUGCGUAACGCGUAUGCAACCUGCCCGUAACAGGGGGAUAAUCUGGAGAAAUUUGGUUUAAUACCCCAUAAUACAAGGGAUGGCAUCAUUUUUUGUUGAAAUUUUCGGAGGUUACGGAUGGGCAUGCGUAGCAUUAGCUUGUUGGUGAGGUAACGGCUUACCAAGGCGACGAUGCUUAGGGGGACUGAGAGGUUUUCCCCCCACACUGGUACUGAGACACGGACCAGACUCCUACGGGAGGCAGCAGUGAGGAAUAUUGGUCAAUGGACGGAAGUCUGAACCAGCCAUGCCGCGUGCAGGAUGACGGCUCUAUGAGUUGUAAACUGCUUUUAUACCAGGGUAAAGGGGUGUACGUGUAUGCCUUUGAAAGUAUGGUAUGAAUAAGGAUCGGCUAACUCCGUGCCAGCCGCCGCGGUAAAAC
rnacentral:rRNA from 1 species